AUGCAUGUUGUGAAAUUUGGCUACGGAUGGAACAUAGGGGAUGGGAGCAGAACCAAGUUCUGGGAAGAUACUUGGUUUGGAACAUCCCCCCUAGCAGUCCAAUUUUGGCAUAUUUACUCUGUCCUCAAUGAGCUUAACAAAAGUGUCAAUGAAGUUUGGGACGGUCAAUGCCUAAAACUC
rnacentral:rRNA from 1 species